rnacentral:rRNA from 1 species
UACAGAGGGUGCUAGCGUUGUUCGGAAUCAUUGGGCGUAAAGGGCGUGUAGGCGGUUUGUUAAGUCAUGUGUGAAAUCCCUCGGCUCAACCGGGGAACGACGCAUGAAACUGGCAAGCUAGAGUACCAAAGAGGGGGGUGGAAUUCCCGGUGUAGCGGUGAAAUGCGUAGAUAUCAGGAAGAACACCCGUGGCGAAGGCGGCUCUCUGGGACGGUACUGACGCUGAGACGCGAAAGCGUGGGGAGCGAACAGG